rnacentral:rRNA from 1 species
CCCUUAGAUGUCCUGGGCCGCACGCGCGUUACACUGAUGCAUUCAACGAGCUUAUAACCUUGGCCGAGAGGCCUGGGCAAUCUUGUUAACGUGCAUCGUGAUAGGGAUAGAUUAUUGAAAUUAUUAAUCUUGAACGAGGAAUUCCUAGUAAACGCAGAUCAUCAAUCUGCAUUGAUUACGUCCCUGCCCUUUGUACACACCGCCCGUCGCACCUACCGAUUGGAUGGUCCGGUGAAGCCUCGGGAUUGUGGUUCUGCCGCUUUAUUGUGGCGUGACCGCGAGAACUUGUCUAAACCUUAUCAUCUAGAGGAAGGUGAAGUCGUAACA